GGGGAUGUGGCUUAGUGGUAGAGUGCUUGCCUGACAGGCAAGAGGCUGUGAGUUUGAUCCCAAGAAUCCCCC
rfam:Ictidomys tridecemlineatus contig035103, whole genome shotgun sequence.